rnacentral:sRNA from 1 species
AGGGGAACCUGUUGACAGAGUGCGGCAUCCUCAGGUGACCAGUGAGAGAAGGGCAUGUUCACUGGUCAUGCCUGAAGCCGGGGGGAACUGGGUUCAGGGCUGGGGCUAGUUUCUUUCAAUGUUUUGAAACCUGAACAUUAUGUUAACAACCUAAACAUCUUAACAAGUGUCUGGGAAUGUUCAAACCCUGGCUUGGGUUUGAGCCUAAGGGCAACCUCGCUGGCCAAGUCAGAGAGGUCAGGGCAGUCUGUUUCUUUCUCAGUCAGGACAAGACAAAGUGUGGGGACCUGGGGACCCUGCACUCCUCCAAAGUGAGUGCCUCCUUUCGGCUCAGAGACCUUGCUGCUGACCACCACAGGACACAGAAAUGGCAAAGACCAGAUGUGGGGACGGCAGGACGGCUGCCUCUCCCCUGAUGAGGUUCCCUCAGUUCUAGCUUAACAUUUGUUCUUCCGUGAUCACCAGAAGACUCCUCAGGGUCUCACAGCGGCAGUCUCCUAUUUUGACACAGGUUUUGGGCAUUUCUGAGAUCCCAGUAUGGUGCCCCUUCCCCACACCCCCCAGGCUGCAGUUUAUCUCCUUCUCAGCCUGGGCCAGGCACUGAGUCCAGCACUGAGCAGGGCAGAGCCUGUGGCUUCCUCGGGCUCCCUGCCCUAGGCUGGCACAGUGGGUGUGGGGUGGCCCCAGUGCCUUGGCUGCCCUGAUGCCAUCUCUAGAGCUGAGUGCCCAGGUCCUGAUCUCUUUUUUGAUCCUAGUUCCCCUUUCCUAGGCCCCCCCAAAGUGUCCCCUCCUGCUGUGACUUCUAGCCAAGAAGACAUUUCUCCCAGGCCAAGUGAUCUCUGAUAGAUCCUGUAGGACCACUGAAGUCAGACAGGACAAGUUAAGUCAGGGCCUAUGUGUCCAGUGCCCAGCAUGCUUGGGGAGUGACACAGAUGAUGAUGAUCUUGUCACAGGCCGGUGUCUCAGGCACAGAUGCUGAGACAGGUUGAGGUACAGGAUGCGCACUGGGGGUCGGCACCAGGAAGGCAGGGAGGACGGGAGAGGAGAGGUCGACUCAGGCAGCAGGAUCCGCAGAGCUGUGGUUGGCCCAGCAGGGAGCCCUGGAGGAGAACUGGCUAUGCUAUGCCAUGUGGGGCCAGGCUGGCUGGGACUUCACACCACGGUCUGGUGGCUCCCCAGUGUGGGCUGCCCUGGGCAGGUGUGACCUGGCAGCGUGGCUCUUUGCAGCCAAAGUGGGUCCCACAGAAACCAAAAUGAGACCAUGUGCUGAUGCAGUGUUCUCCAACAUGAAGCAAGAAUACAGUGGGGCCAGAGAUGCCUGCAGUGGCCACAGCUGCAGCCCUGCGUGGACCCACACUUCCACGUUGGAGAGGGGUUCCUCCAAGGUCCUGAGGGCCUCUCUUAAGGUGAAACUGGAAGAGGGAGACUUAAGGGGGCCACUGUAGCCCAUCCUUGCUGCUGGUCUUGGGGCUGCAUAGCCCUUCCUUGAGUGCCCUCCCAAUUCACUACCACUUCUGCUGGGGUGUGACUUCCUGGCAGUCUGAGCCCUUCUCCAGACACCACUGUGGUGGGGCCAGUGGAUCCCUGGGUCCCUAGCUGUGGGACAGCUGUGGGAUGGCAGCCCCAUCUCCUGCCCACCAGGGUCUCCUAGACAUGAGGUGCAAGUCAUGCCCAUGAGGCAGCUGUGGCUCGUCAUUCAGCGUGUCUGCUGAGUAUGUGCUGCUCUAGUGGCCGGGACCCCUGACCCUGCUGAGCUCAGAGCUGGGAGGAUCAGCUGCAGGGACCCCCCUAGGUCACUGGGAGGGACCGGAAGGGACCCCCCUAGGUCACUGGGAGGGACCGGAAGGGAGGCCCCUGCUCCCACCCUGGUUCCUGUAUCCUGCAUCCUUGUGCAGAGCCAGCACCACAGAAAGGGCUGUCAUUGCAAAUUGGCCUCGUCCUGGGGCUGGACCCUGAGUCGGUGUCCACAUGUGUGGCAUGUGCCAGGACCUCAGCUCCUGGGUUCUUUGCUGUAACACUAGUCUCUCAGGCUGGCUGGCACUUUGCAGUUGGGGAGCUCCCACUGCUGCUGGGGAGAAAAACUCAGACCCACUGUCCCUCUGACUGCUCCACUGGGAUCAGCUGGCCAGCCAGGAGCCACGCUUGGGACACCUCCCUCUUCCCCCUCCUUGUGGGGCACCCCACAAUGACCACUGCUGUGACGCCUCCACUGGGGCGUGGGGCUCUGGGUCCUGCCCGCACUCAGCCCUGAGGUGUCAUUCCCGUCCACUGCGGCCCUGCUGGGCUGUGCACCUUGUGCCUGGUAGGUGUGAUGGGUGGCUCUGGCCACGUGGUCCCAUGGUCCAGGACCCGGUUGCACAUGAACCUUCUGCCACCCUGCUCAGAAGCCCCAGGAGCCAUGUGGAGAUUCUCUCACUGGGCUUGCUGCAGCCUCCACAGAGCCGCCCCUCCUGCCACAGAGGUCUCCACCUUAGGGUCCGCCUGCUCCCUUGUGUCAGCAGCAGACAGCCAGCACACUGCAGGGUCCCUUGAGGGGCUGGUGGCCUCUGUGUGGGACCUGUCUGUAGGCCAGAGAAGUUCCUGGGGGUGGGGGGGCCUCGCUACCUGCAGAACCCUGGAGGGCGCCUGGCCUUGGGCCUCCUCUCCACUGUGGGAAGUUCCUGGGGGUGGGGGGGCCUGGCCUUGGGCCUCCUCCUUUCCACUGUGGGAAGUGCAGGUGCACAGGCUUCUCUCCACUGUGGGAAGUGCAGGUGCACAAGCUUGUCUGGCACUGGGAUGGGGUUGUCUGGUACUCCCUGCUCGGACACCCUAAGGAUUUCGGAGAGUUGGGCUGUGCCUCCUGGCUUCUCAUGCUCUUGGGUAUGUGUGUCUUAACACACUGACCACCAGCUUGUCCUACCUGGUCAGCAUCCAGUUCUAGGUCUCUGGACACUCAUGCCUGGACAGGAGAGCUGGCACAGCCUGGAGGCAAAGUGGCAAAUGUGAGCUGUUGUCUGCUCCACGUGGACGCGGAGUUUGCUGUGUUUUUUUCUGAUUGAGAUAGAGGUGCACUCAUCUGGUCCAGGGCUCAGCACUUGUACCUGAGGCUGCAGGGGCUGUGCCCUGUCUUGCCCAGGAGUGUUGCCAGCGAGCCCAGGACUGACCAGCCCAGGCUGCAGAGGUCUGAGCUCAGUGACUCUGGCCCUGUCCUGGCAGGGAGGGCUCGCUUCGUAGAUGGCGCUGGUCAGUCUUAUCCGCAUGGCCACACUCCCUCCCUGUGCGAGGUGCUGGCACAGAGCCCUACAGGUGCAUUCCCUCAACGGGCCAGGCUGUGGUCUAGGUUCCUCCAGCCCCCAAACCCUAUCUUUUUUUUGAGACAGGGUCUCUCAUUCUCACCCAGGCUGGAGUGCAGUGGUGUGAUCAGAGCUCACUACAGCCUCAACCUCCCAGGCUCAAGCCAUCCUCCCACCUCAGCCUCCCGAGUAGCUAGGACUGCAGGCGCACAUUACCAUAAGCUUUUGUACAGACGGAGUCUCACUAUGUUGCCCAGGUUGGCCGUGAAGUGGGCUCAGGUGCUCCUCCUGCUUCUGCCUCCCAAAGUGUUGGGAUAAUAAGUGUGAGCUACCAUGCCUGGCCCAAUCCCUGUCUUUCACCUUUGGCCACCAUCAGGCCAAAGGUUGCAGGCAGGUUCUCAGGAGCAGCAUCUGGGGACACCUCCACCAGAUCUCCCCACAACCCCAGAAUGCAUCCCAGAAGGGUCUUGCAGUUGGGGGCUGCCCUCUUGCCCCUUCCUCAUGUGAGCCCCUCACUGUGGCAUUGACACAGGCCUGGCUCUGCUGGCCCUUGGCAGGGUGGGGACUGAGCCCCAACUCCUGGUGCUUCCUCCCAGUAUUAUGCGGAGUGUCACGGCGUCAUCUACGUCAUUGACUCCACCGACGAGGAGAGGCUGGCUGAGUCCAAGCAGGCGUUUGAAGGUGGUGACCAGCGAGGCGCUGUGCGGUGUCCCCGUCUUGGUGCUGGCCAACAAGCAGGAUGUGGAGAAGUGCCUCUCAAUCCCUGACAUCAAGACGGCCUUCAGCGACUGCACCAGCAAGAUCGGCAGGCGGGACUGCCUGACCCAGGCCUGCUCGGCCCUCACAGGGUGAGUGGGGCUGCACCUGCGGGGGCUUUGGGGACCGAGACCCCCCGCCUCACACCCGCUGUCUUCACAGCAAAGGGGUGCGCGAGGGCAUCGAGUGGAUGGUGAAGUGUGUCGUGCGGAAUGUGCACCGGCCGCCGCGGCAGAGGGACAUCACGUAGGCGCAGCCGCGCUGCCGUCGGGACGGCUGGUCCCCUGGUGCUGGAGGAGUGGCCUCCUGUUGGCUCCCAUGCUGCUGAUCUGGGGGGUGGGUUUGCUUUGCUUUGGGGUUCUUCUAUUUACUUUGUUUUCUCGAAGACAAACUUUUCUCUAUGUCUGGAAAAGCGUAGGCAUCCGGAGGCUUUGGAGGGGAGUCUGGCAGCCCGGCUGGCCCAGGCCCUGCAGCGGCAGCCUUUCCACAGGGCGCAGCGGCGGCCUUUCGAGGCCCUUUCUGGGGGGUCUGAGGGAGACCUGGUUGGGAAUUGGGGCUUCAGUGCUCAGGCUGGCUUGGGCUGCAUGAGGACAGCCCUGUGGGACCCUCGGGAGACCCCGUGGCUGUCUCUGCCCCAUCGAGGAGGAGGCCCGUCAGCCAUGGCUGCCAUCUGGCUUCUGCCCUGUGACCCCGUGACCCCGGAAGUGGUCUGGGGCUGAUCUUGCCUUGAGGAAGACCCAGGCCAUGUUCCCAAAGGCCAGCGGGGGCCCUGGAUUGUGAUGCAGCCUCGGGACAGGGCUGAGGAGGUCUGUGGGGGAAGACCUAUACCCCACGCCUGGGCCUGGCUUCACCUCAUCUUAAUCCCCAGGGAGGGAGCUGACUGAUGCAAAAAGCUGAGGGGGCCUGCUGGGAGUGGCUGUUUUUAUGCCCCAGCCCCGCAAGUUGGGGAGUGUUUGUGGUCCAGAGCCCUCCCCCAGCCAGGAGAGAACCUCCUGGAGGGGUUCUUUGUGGGGCCCUGUGUCCCCUGCUCGGGAGUAAGGCUGGUCCUGGGGUCCUCCCUGCACAGCCCCCACUGGGCCUGCGAAGUGCUGUGUUCUUCCUCAGUCUGGCUGUGGGCAGGAGCCGCCUGCCCAGUGCCACCCAGGGUGAGUGCAAAAUAAAGACGGCGAGUGU